AUGCUGGAUCAUGAGGCUGGAGCCGACAUGCGACUGGUCCGUAAGAUCAACACAGGCAUGAAGAUCCACGCCGGGGGUGAGCACAUGGGCUGCAGCAAGGUGGAAGACAACCAGGACAACCAGGUCAUCUGUUUGCAAUGUCAAGAUGAGGUGAUGCGGGUUUGUCCGGGGAGUCCGCGCAGUCCUCGCCGCGCUAUCGCGACGCGCCUCUCAUCCGGAUCCGCAGAUCGCGAACCCAGCAGCAGCAGCUACAAUGUCUCCUCAGGAACCUUCUACAGUUGUGUCAGUCAGAUCACCAUCGGUGAGUGCACUGCUUUUGAGUUGUGUCAUGGUUCCGGGUCUUUGACCCAGUGUGGUGAUUUGGUCUUUUAAAUCUUAAUUCAACAUUGUUUGGUUUUUGAGUAGCGGGUUUUUGAUUUAUUUCCAGGUUUAUUCUGCGAUUUUAUUCUAGUUCUACUUUGUUUUCUUCUGUGUCUUGUAUUUCCC
rnacentral:lncRNA from 1 species